GCACUAGUUCAGAACUUCCCUCUACUGGCGAUGUUUGCCACAAUGUGUACGCGAUCAUAGUAUAUACAUAAUUAGAAUAUAGCAACGCUAUAAACUUCCCUAUUUUGUACUUGGCUCCCAUUUUUCCAUGAAUAUGGGUUGCUACAUAAGUUGUCCAAUUGAACACCAUCCCUUCAAACGUCCCUGCCACUGCAAACAUUAACCAUCUUGACAUAUAUGUGUUGUGUCGAUACAACCCUAGACACCUCAGCACGAAGCGCAACCAUUCCAUGAGCUCUGAUGUAAUUGCCUCAACCGUCCGCCAACCUUGGUUCUUCUCAAACGAUGACAUGCCACCUUUGAAAUAACUUCCCGGUUAGAAGUCAUUGGACUCCUCAACACCCACCGCAAUCUCUCCAACUGGAAGAAACAAUACUUUUUCAAGGAUCUUCUCAUCAAUAUCGAUAACGCACCCUUACACUAUGCUUGAUCCAUCCUAUAGGUCAUAGUUCGCGAUGUAUUCUUCCACUAAUGCUACAUUAAUUGAAGGCAAACUAUUUGACCUUCGUAAAAACUGAAACAUUUGUGUGUUUUAAAAAUCUUGUAUUUUCUUUGGCAUCCAGCAAAUCUCCAGCUUCAUAGGCUC
rnacentral:lncRNA from 1 species